rnacentral:piRNA from 1 species
UGCAGCCAGCCUUGGAAACGCAGA